CAGGUUUCACUGAGGCUGUAAACUGAUAUAAUUGGGAAAUAUGGUAAAUUCAGAAAUCAGAUCAUUGUAGCAAAAUAUUACUUUUAAUACCUGAAAGAUAAAGACAUGAAGAUAAACAGCAUUGAUAUGGACAUCCCCCUGAGAUCUCAAAUUUAUUUCCUAUGUUAAUCAAAGUUCUUCAUGCUCAGAGAAACUAAAUUUCACUGGACUGUCUCAAAAGGCAAAGACUGAAUAUCUGUUUCUGAGAAGAGGAUGAGAGUCAAGUAAACACUUUUAGUCCACAGAAAAGUGUGAAGAUUUCCUAUUCCACAGAAGAUUUUCUGUCCUAUUUGGUAAUUGCAGCUUGCCAACUUUUGGUUCUAGCCCCAUGGACCCUCCAUCCCAGGGAGAGAGUGGUAGAACACAGAGAAAAAGAAGGUGUCUAAGACUUAUGGCACAGUGCUUGGAUAUGAAAGAGACUAUUCCAAAGUUAUCAGAAAAAGGAACAGUGAGAAACAUGGAAGCAGUGAAGUGUUAUAUUCUGGGUACUGCAAUUCAACUAAUUUACCUGCGAAUGUGAAAACCUGCAGUAAAUAAUACUGAUAGUAUUUUAUCAACUUGGAUCUAAAACUGGACUUAUUUCAAUAAAAAAUAAUCAUCUAAUUUUUAAAUAAUCAAUGUUGUUCUGUAAAUAUCUGAAAAGUUCACUUUAAACUAGCUUUUGGAUAUUUGAAAU